AACGCUGGCGGCAUGCCUAGCACAUGCAAGUCGAACGAGACCUUCGGGUCUAGUGGCGCACGGGUGCGUAACGCGUGGGAACCUGCCCUUAGGUUCGGAAUAACUCCCCGAAAGGGGUGCUAAUACCGGAUAAUGUCUUCGGACCAAAGAUUUAUCGCCUUUGGAUGGGCCCGCGUUGGAUUAGCUAGUUGGUAGGGUAAAAGCCUACCAAGGCGACGAUCCAUAGCUGGUCUGAGAGGAUGAUCAGCCACACUGGGACUGAGACACGGCCCAGACUCCUACGGGAGGCAGCAGUGGGGAAUAUUGGACAAUGGGCGAAAGCCUGAUCCAGCAAUGCCGCGUGAGUGAUGAAGGCCUUAGGGUUGUAAAGCUCUUUUACCCGGGAUGAUAAUGACAGUACCGGGAGAAUAAGCUCCGGCUAACUCCGUG
rnacentral:rRNA from 1 species